UGGGGGUUGGUGGAAAGCUCCGGCGGUUUGGGAUGGGCCAGCGGCCUAUCAGCUUGUUGGUGGGGUAAUGGCCUACCAAGGCGACGACGGGUAGCCGGCCUGAGAGGGCGACCGGCCACACUGGGACUGAGACACGGCCCAGACUCCUACGGGAGGCAGCAGUGGGGAAUAUUGCACAAUGGGCGCAAGCCUGAUGCAGCGACGCCGCGUGAGGGAUGACGGCCUUCGGGUUGUAAACCUCUUUCACCAGGGACGAAGCGUGAGUGACGGUACCUGGAGAAGAAGCACCGG
rnacentral:rRNA from 1 species